CCUAGAGAGGCCGACGGCGGGCCGCGACGGAGCGUGAGGCGCACCCCACUGCUGUGCUGAGUUGGGGGGUGGUGUCGUAGGCGGGGCGGAAGGAGCCGGGGAAGGCGCGGGUGGUCCCGCGAGGUCUCCGUCCUCCUGCCCCGCCCCCACCGCUGGGAGGGGCGGGGUUAAGUUGCGUCUGCGUAUCUCCGGACUUCGCAGCUUCUGGUCCACUCCUUUCUGCCUCCUGUUGCAGGUCAAGAAAAUUGCUAAAACCAGCAAACUGCCCAAAAUGGAUAAGCAAAAAUCCCUGUCAGUUUUGGAUCAUCUGAAGUCAGAAACAACUUGGAGAGGCAAAGUUGGCCCAGAUCGGUUCCUUCAUUGGAUGGAAGGCGAUGGUUGCAUCAGUGCUUUACCAAUGAUGAUUGGAUAGAAGAGGUGAAAGUUUGAACCUUGAACAGCAGCUACUCUGGAUUUUGAAGGAGUUUGGGAGAAAGAAGAAGGGUGAAGGUUUUACUUCCCCUGUACUCUUACCUCCACUUUUUUCAUUAAAUGCACUCCAACUCCCUUGUACCCUUUCUCUUUUCCCUCUACAGAUUCUUUAUGCCCACCCCCAACUUGACUUUUCUCUCCCACUUAAAUUCAAUUUGUCCUAAUCUACUUUUACUGAUCUGUCUCUAUCUUUUCUUAAGGCAGGAGUUCUUAACUUUUUUUUUCCAUGGGCCCCUUUGAUAGUCAGGUGAAAUGAAUACUACUGUAAUUUAUUUAUUGCAUACAUCCAUAAGUGAAGGAAAUGCUAGAUUUCACUUAGAGGUCAGAGAAAAUAAAGAUAAUAAGUUGAUUUCUUUCAAUUCAAGCUCAUGGAUCCCUAGUUAAGAACCGCUGUCUUAAGGUGUACAGUGAAUGUAAACUUUGGAAUUAACAAAGAUCCCUCAUUAGCCAGGUGACCUGAUACUCAAUUUCCUACUCUGUACAAUGGUAAACAAAACAAAAACAAAAACAAAAAAAAAAACCUACUUCUCAGGGUUGUUUUGAGGAUAAAAUAUGUACUUCUGUUUCCAGCAGUGGGUUUCCAGAUUCCUGACUAUGUCACAGAAAGGAAUUUAAGGACAACUUAAGUAUGCACCAUAUUUUAAGCAAGAAUAAAGAGUUUAUUGUAGAGCGAAAGAAAACUAGAGUACACACUUGAGACUUGAGUCUGGGCAUAUUUAAGGCAAGACUCCUCCCACCCUUCUUCCUUCUUCCAUGUAAAUGAAGGCUCGUGAAUUUUAACAUUCUCAUUGGUUCUAA
rnacentral:lncRNA from 1 species